CUAAGAAUAUUCCGCAAUGGGGGGAACCCUGACGGAGCGACGCCGCGUGGGCGAGGAAGGCCGGAAGGUUGUAAAGCCCUUUUGCGCGCGAGGAAUAAGGGGAGGAGGGAAUGCCUUCCCGGUGACUGUAGCGCGCGAAUAAGCGCCGGCUAAUUACGUGCCAGCAGCCGCGGUAACACGUAAGGCGCGAGCGUUGUUCGGAAUCAUUGGGCGUAAAGGGCGUGUAGGCGGCCCUGCAAGCCUGGCGUGAAAUCCCGGGGCUCAACCCCGGAACCGCGCUGGGAACUGCGGGGCUUGAGCCGCUGUGGCGCAGCCGGAAUUCCAGGUGUAGGGGUGAAAUCUGUAGAUAUCUGGAAGAACACCGAUGGCGAAGGCAGGCUGCGAGCGGACGGCUGACGCUGAGGCGCGAAGGCGCGGGGAGCGAACAGGA
rnacentral:rRNA from 1 species